GGGGGUGACGACAGGCGCGUGUGUGGUGAGGGCGGCCCUGCACCUUGCCUGUCAGCUGUAUGGAGGUGCCCAAGCUCGCUGGAGGAAAACAAUGCUGACCAGUGGCCCGAAGGGAUUUUCCCGCAUCCACUGGGAAUGGGAAGGAUCCUGUCAAAAAUCCAAAGGGAAAUGAUACAACCAGGAAGCCUUGGUGCCCUUACAGGAAGAGAUGAGCCCGUUUCCCACGCUGUCAUCUGGAGUGAGGACACUCACAACCACGGUCACACACCCGGGAGCCCUGCCCGGUCUCACCUGCCCGACAUCCCUCGGGAGUCAGAGCAGAGGCGCAGGGGAGGGCUCCGGCCUCCAGAGCGUCGCCCUGCAGCCGCAGGGGAAGGGGCAGAAAUAAGCCACCUUCUCUCCAGAACGCUGCUGCUCAGGAAGCCGCUGGGGAAAGCACCUCUCUGAUCCGGCCCCGAGGGCAGCGCCUUCUUUCUGGCCUGCUGCGUCAAGGUUUUCUCAGCCGCACCCUCAUCCAAUCGAGAUGAGGUUGGCCCGGCACCGUGGCUCACGCCUGUAAUCCCAGCACUUCGGGAGGCCAAGGCGGACGGAUCACAAGUGAGGCAGUACUGAAAGAAUGUAGCAAGUGAGUUGAGCAAUUUCAGACAUUCAGACUGCGUCCGGAAUUGGUGGGUUCUUGGUCUCACUGACUUCAAGAAUGAAGCCAUGGACCCUCGCGGUGAGUAUUACAGCUCUUAAGGUGACACCUCUGGAGUUGUUCGUUCCUUCUGAUGUUUGGAUGUGUUUGGAGUUUCUUCCUUCUGGUGGGUUCGUGGUCUCGCUGGCUCAGGAGUGAAGCUGCAGACC